GACGAACCGUGCGAACGUUGUUCGGAUUCACUGGGCUUAAAGGGCGCGUAGGCGGGCUCGCAAGUCAGGGGUGAAAUCCUCCGGCUCAACCGGAGAACAGCCUUUGAUACUGCGAGCCUCGAGGAAGGUAGGGGCAUGUGGAACUUCCGGUGGAGCGGUGAAAUGCGUAGAUAUCGGAAGGAACGCCGGUGGCGAAAGCGACGUGCUGGGCCUUUUCUGACGCUGAGUGCGCGAAAGCCAGGGGAGCAAACGGG
rnacentral:rRNA from 1 species